rnacentral:misc_RNA from 1 species
UUUCCGUAGGUGAACCUGCGGAAGGAUCAUUAAAGUUAUAGUCCCCUGGCCCUCUGGGCUGGGGUCUUCUAUACCACCCUUUGUUUAUUACACCUUUGUUGCUUUGGCAGGCCUGCCCUCGGGCUGCUGGCUCCGGCCGGCGAGCGCCUGCCAGAGGACCUAAACCCUGUUUGUCUAUAAUGUCUGAGUACUAUAUAAUAGUUAAAACUUUCAACAACGGAUCUCUUGGUUCUG